GACGAACGCUGGCGGCGUGCUUAACACAUGCAAGUCGAACGGAAAGGCCCUGCUUUUGUGGGGUGCUCGAGUGGCGAACGGGUGAGUAACACGUGAGUAACCUGCCCUUGACUUUGGGAUAACUUCAGGAAACUGGGGCUAAUACCGGAUAGGAGCUCCUGCUGCAUGGUGGGGGUUGGAAAGUUUCGGCGGUUGGGGAUGGACUCGCGGCUUAUCAGCUUGUUGGUGGGGUAGUGGCUUACCAAGGCUUUGACGGGUAGCCGGCCUGAGAGGGUGACCGGCCACAUUGGGACUGAGAUACGGCCCAGACUCCUACGGGAGGCAGAAGUGGGGGAUAUUGCACAAUGGGCGGAAGCCUGAUGCAGCAACGCCGCGUGCGGGAUGACGGCCUUCGGGUUGUAAACCGCUUUCGCCUGUGACGAAGCGUGAGUGACGGUAAUGGGUAAAGAAGCACCGGCUAACUACGUG
rnacentral:rRNA from 1 species